UACGAAGGGUGCUAGCGUUGUUCGGAAUAACUGGGCGUAAAGGGUGCGUAGGUGGGUGUGUGCGUUAGAUGUGAAAUCCCCGGGCUUAACCUGGGAACUGCAUUUAAUACGGCACAUCUAGAGUGCGAGAGGAGAAAGCGGAAUGGCGAGUGGAGCAGUGAAAUGCAUUGAGAUUCGCUAGAACACCAGAGGCGAAGGCGGCUUUCUGGCUCGCUACUGACACUAAGGCACGAAAGCGUGGGGAGCAAACAGG
rnacentral:rRNA from 1 species